rnacentral:ribozyme from 1 species
CCCUCUCGUGGAUUGAGACCUUGUCGUGGUGAGGGGCUGAGUAUGUGAGGAUUCUUAAUAAACAUCACGGAAACCAGCAUCAAU